ACGUGAUCUGAGUUCAGACCGGAGUAAUCUAGGUCAGUUUCUAUCUAUUAGAAGUUUUCUAUAGUACGAAAGGAUCCAGAAAACAUGGCCUAUACUAAAGCAAGCCAUCCAAACAAUCUCUGUUUUCGACUUAAAUGAUAACCGAUUCAUCAAAUACCUCAAUAAAAGAGAA
rnacentral:rRNA from 1 species